AUAAUAAUCCUUACACAAUACUUUUGAUGUGUUUUGAUACUGGAAAUAUUUCUUAGUAUUCGAGGUUAUACCCCGAAGUGGUUGUUUUUGGUUGUUGGAGGUGGUUGGAGGUGGACGAGGAGGAGGACGAGAAAGAGGAGGCGAACAAGGUGAAAGAGGAGGACGAGGAUUUGUGCUCGGUAUAACCUGAGGUGGUUAUUGGUGGUUAUUGGUGGUUGUUGGGGGCGGUUGGCGGUGGUCGGAGGUGGACGAGGAGGAGGACGAGAAAGAUGAGGAAAACAAGGUGGACGAGGAGGGCGAGGAUUUGUGCUCGGUAUAACCCGAGGUGGUUAUCAGUGGUUGUUGGAGGUGGUCGGAGA
rnacentral:lncRNA from 1 species